GGAAGUAUUAACCAAUUUGAAAGAAUAGUUUCAAUAGAAUGUGUUGUUAUUCUCUUUGAAUAAUGUUUAGACAUUUGCAUUAAGAAUAAUUGGUAAAAGUAAUAAUUUAUCAUGUAGUUAAUGAACUGAACUAAACUGUUGUUCUGAUCUGUUCUUUCGAGGUUAUCAUGAAAAGUGACAUCAGACGGUAUCUUAAUGCAUGGAAGAGAUAAUUGGACCGAAAAGUGUGUGUACCUCAAACCCCCUCUAAUUGGCUGAAGAAGGAGUGACGAAGGCGUUGAAUAUGGCCCUGCCCGAACCAUUUCUACUGAGAGGAAUGGCCGAGCCAGCAACCGGUUCCUCUCUCCUCCUUUCAUCCCUCCCCCCUCCCCAUCUGUCUCUCUCUGUAUGAAGGUGACCUUGUUGUCUCUGCUCGUCCAUCGAUUUCUGCACUCCGAGGACCCGGGGACUCCCUCCCACUCAUUUCCGGAAGAGAGAUGGAGGGAUGGAGGGAAGAAAGGGUGGAUAUGCAAGGGAGCAUACGGCAGUGCAUAGGUGCACAAG
rnacentral:lncRNA from 1 species